rnacentral:lncRNA from 1 species
CUUUCUUGUCCUAACAGGUGGCAAUGGUGGACUUGGUGGCUUGUAAGGGGGUGUAGGAGUUGGCGGUGCCUUGUAAGGAGGUGUAGGAGUUGGCGGUGCCUUGUAAGGAGGUGCUGGAGUUGUUGGUGGCUUGUAUGGGGGUGAAGGAGUUGGGGGUUUAUAUGGGGGAGCGGGAGCCUUGGUUGGGGGUGCAGGAGUUGGGGGUUUAUAUGGGGGAGUAGGAGCCUCGACUGGGGGUGUGGGAGUUGGGGGUUUGUACGGGGGAGUAGGAGCCUUGACUGGAGGUGCAGGACUUGGGGGUUUGUACGGGGGAGUAGGAGCCUUGACUGGAGGUGCAGGACUUGGGGGUUUGUACGGGGGAGUAGGAGCCUUGACUGGAGGUGCAGGACUUGGGGGUUUGUACGGGGGAGUAGGAGCCUUGACUGGAGGUGCAGGACUUGGGGGUUUGUACGGGGGAGUAGGAGCCUUGACUGGGGGUGUAGGAGUUGGGGGUUUAUAUGGGGGAGUAGGAGCCUUGACUGGGGGUGUAGGAGUUGGGGGUUUGUAUGGAGGAGUAGGAGCCUUGACUGGG